rnacentral:rRNA from 1 species
UACGUAGGGGGCAAGCGUUGUCCGGAAUCAUUGGGCGUAAAGAGCGUGUAGGCGGCCCGAUAAGUCCGCUGUGAAAGUCCAGGGCUCAACCCUGGAAUGCCGGUGGAUACUGUCGGGCUCGAAUCCGGAAGAGGUGAGUGGAAUUCCUGGUGUAGCGGUGAAAUGCGUAGAUAUCUGGAGGAACACCGGUGGCGAAGGCGGCAUCCUGGACCGGUAUUGACGCUGAGGCGCGAAAGCUAGGGGAGCAAACGGG